GUCCUUUUUUCGUAUAUAACUUAUAAAUGCACUAUUUUUUUCAGUUUACAUUACAUACACUCUGCAGUUAAAAGUUUUUAAAGCAUUUAUUAGAUUUCAUAAAUCCUCCUGGAUUUUUACUAAAUUUGAACAGAAGCUUCUUACAGUACUAGUCUAAAGAAAGUAUCUAGAGGAUUUUUUCCCCAUUUUUGUCGAGCCUGCAACUAACAUUAAAAGUAGACGAGGCACUGGGUUCCGCAAAACCCUUACUAUUUUAUUAGCUGAAUACAUUGGUAACCUAUCUCCAGCAGGGGUUGAAUUGAAGUUAACAUGACUGUGUAUUCAAUGAGGUCCAAUUAUUAACUUGCAAGUGCACAACUCAUCAAUCAUGUUCCUUAGCUUAUUUAACAAAAUAGAACCAGAUUGACUUCUAAAAGUGAAUAUCAUUUUCAUUAAUGAUUUAACAAAAAAAAUCAUAUUUAAUUUUUUUUUAUGUCUCGUAGCUAAUGCACCUAUCACAAAAAAAUACAUUUUAGGCUGAUCACUUUUUAAGAGUACUCACUAUUUUUCUGGUUAGUAUUACCAUAACUGUUGAUCAGCUGACCAUAUUACAACAUUGUUUUAACAGUUAGUAAAUAGGUGUAAAAAUUUAUUUUAAAAUUAGUAAUUACUGGUAAUAACUGGGCCAUUUUAGGAAUUACUUGUAUUUACUAAGUGCAUCAGGAAUUACAUGUAAUUCCUAAAUUUUAGUAAUUCCUAAGUUCACCUAUUUACUGUAACAUAUACAUGAUCUAAAUGACAAGAAUCAUUUCAGAAAAUUCAGUUUAGGUUUCAGAUAACUGAAAUUUAAGUUUCUCUACAGAGCACAAUUUGUGUUCAGCAUAUGCUUUUAAUAGAACCCCUUUUAACCUUAACAUAAGAUAUUAAAUCCUGCUUUUAGUUAGAAUUGAAAUACUUAAUAUGGCAAAGCUUUUACUAUUAUAAAUAUUGUGCAUUAGUAACAUUCCUAGAGCAUUACUUGUUUGACAAAGUAUUAUUGAUACAGUAGUUUCUAAUGAUUUCUUGAUCAUUCAUGGUGUAUGACAUUGUUUAUCAAAUUGAAAUUGUCUGAAAUUGAUUCAGUAAACUGCUAUCACUUUAUAGAUUUUCACUGUCAGAAUAUAUUUGAAAUACAGAAUUUUCCAGGUAAGAAUUAUUGAAUGAUUACCAUACAAUAAGUUUUCAAAUUUAACACAAAAUUUAUAUGUAACCCCAGUUUACUCAUAUUCAGAGUAUGAUAGGCAACCAUUGUGUCUAGGAGAACAUUAUCAUAUCAUACAUAAGAUGCAUAAGAGUAAAAUAUAUUAUGACAUGAAUACGUUAAGGGAUCAUAGACUGAUUUUGGACUGGUAAAAAUGUUGUAGGACAAGUAAAAAGUAAAAAGUAUAACCCUUCCACAGCCUUUUUAACUCACCUGGCCCGAAGGGCCAAGUGAGCUUUUCUCAUCACUUUGCCUCCAGCUUCGUCAUUGUUCGGCGUCGUUAACUUUUACAAAAAUCUUCUCCUCUGAAACUACUGGGCCAAAUUUAACCAAACUUGGCCACAAUCAUCAUUGAUGUAUCUAGUUUAAAAAAUGUGCCUGGUGACCCGGCCAACCAAUCAAGAUGGCCACCAUGGUUAAAAAUAGAACAUAGGGGUAAAAUGUAGAUUUUGGCUUAUUACUCUGAAACCAAAGCAUUUACAGCAAAUCUGACAAGGUGUUAAAUUGAUUAUCAAGUCAAUAUCUAUCUGCCCUGAAAGUUUAAGAUGAUUGCCACUGGUGUUGGGUUGCCUGCCAAUUUUAAUUUUUUAAAGAAAUGUUGCCGUUGUUGGUUAUUAUCUUGAAUACUAUUACAUAUUCAGAUAGACAGCAAUAAUGUUCAGCAAAGUAAGAUCUACAAAUAAGUCAACAUGACCAAAAUGGUGAGUUGACCCCUCUAGGAGUUUAUACCCUUUAUAAUCAAUUUUUAACAAUUUUCAUUAAUUUGGUAAAUUUUUACAAAAUAUUUUCCUCUGUAAUUAAAGGGCCAAGUUUAUUAUAGAUAGAGAAAAUUGUAAGUAGCAAGAAUGUUCAGUUAAGUAAGAUCUACAUACCCAUCACCAUCAUCAAAACACAAUUUUGUCAUGAAUCCAUCUGUGUCCUUUUUAAUACAUGUAUGCACAUAAACCAAGGUGAGCCACACAGGCUCUUAAGAGCCUCUAGUUUUUUUUUUGUUGCUGGUGGACAUCCUUGACAUCAGCACUAGUAAAUGAAUCUUAGUCAAGCAGCUAUUUUGAUCUUACACACGUUAAUUGUAAAAUAAGUACAAUUCAGACAUUUCCCUUGCUUUCAAUCAAGUACUGUUCAGUAGCUUUUCAGACAAUUACGUAUGAUGUUGUUAUUAACAGAUACAUAAAACUACUUAACAAACUAAAAAUAGACUGACCAGAACUAUAUUGACUACAAGCGAAGUGUCUGAACAGUACUAAAUUAACUAAGUCUGAAAAUUACCUGAAAGAUUGAACAUUUAUAGUCAAUCUUUUAACCCACUAUUCAGAUCAAAAAUCAAUUAGCUACUGUGGAUGAACAAUACUUCUAAUUAUUGCCAAACAGUUAAAAAAAAGAAAAAAAAUUCUUGCACACUUGUUUGAGUUAUUAUCCACAAAAUUACAUAUUACUAAACAUGAGUAUGUGAGAUUUGUCAUUGAUAGGGUAAUGUGAUAGUAAAUAAGCUGUAGUCUUAAUAUUGCUGUUGCAUUUAUAUAACCUGUACAAAACUUAGGUUUUAUUUAUCACAUGAUCUGAGAGUGAGUGUGUAUAUGUUCAGAUGAGAUUGUUGUAUGCUUGAAUUUAGCAGUGUAAGAAUGUUAACAGUGAAGCUUGAGUAUUUUAAAGCAAAAUAUGUGUUUAUUUUUGAUAGUGUGUGAAUGUUGAAACUGACCAAUGGUUUUUGUAUAAUCAUGAUCAAUGUUAUUGUAUUGAUAACUGAAUUAUAUAGUUUUUGAUUGUGAUUUUAUGGUUUACCUUACACUUCCCAAACAAAAAAAUCUACUCACUUUUACGUUAUUUUACUGAAGCUUAUGUUUUCAUAUUUUUGUCUCUUUUCUAAGAUAGAUACUGUCUUUCCUAAUUCCUAUGUUUUGUCUCAACUGUGAAAAUAUUACAGAAUGUUAUAUAUACAUGUUUUUCUUCUACAAGUAUACUAUUUUCCAUCCCUGAUUGAACCCCAUAUUGUGUAGAAUAGUGAUGAAACUUAAAAUUGAUCGCACAACAUAUCCCUGUUUCUAUAUUUGGUAAAUGAAGCAACAGUGAGA
rnacentral:lncRNA from 1 species